rnacentral:rRNA from 1 species
AUUGAACGCUGGCGGCAGGCUUAACACAUGCAAGUCGAACGAGUGGCGGACGGGUGAGUAAUGCUUGGGAAUCUAGCUUAUGGAGGGGGAUAACUACGGGAAACUGUAGCUAAUACCGCGUACCAUAGGAUGAGCCCAAGUGGGCGUAGGUAGUUGGAGGGGUAACGGCCCACCAAGGCGAUGAUCAGUAGCCGGUCUGAGAGGAUGAACGGCCAAAGUGGGACGGAGACACGGCCCAGACUCCUACGGGAGGCAGCAGUGGGGAAUAUUGCGCCAUGGGGGCAAUCUGACGCAGCCAUGCCGAGGGAGGGAUGACGGCCUUCGGGUUGUAAAGCUCUGUUAAUCGGGAGACGGUACCGGAAUAGAAAGCUACGGCUAACUACGUGCCAGCAGCCGCGGUAAUAC